AAACAAUUUUCAUUUACUUUGCGUUUUUAAUCAUGGUUAAAGGAUAUGUCAGGCAAGCGCUCGUUAUUAUAUAGACAGGACAAAACGAGACGAGCUGUCUAUCCGUCUGGCAGGAUGUCAACGCAAAUUCAAGUGAAAUGAUGCACAAGGCAGCAAAAAAAAAAAGGAAAAGAAAAGGAGGAAAUAAGAGAGACAAGAAAAAGGAUUGCUACCGGAUGAAUGCACUUCAUUUAAAGUAGAAGUAGAAGUAGAAGUAGAAUACAAGGAAUGCAAUGCUCAUUGUUAGUCAGUGCCAUUGGACAGGGGCAUGAGCGUACACAGAAGGCAGCGCCCAAGUCAAGCCCAAAAGGAUUACAGACGUCGACGGGGUGUGUACUUGUGCUGUCGAUUUUCUCCAUAUCCAUCAUAACCAUUGCUGAUCAUGUUUUGGCAUAUUUGUGGCUUACCCUAAAAGGGUUUCACUCCUCAGGGACUGAAGUUCUAGGGAAAAGUCUGAAAGAAACUUCAGCGGCAGCAUUGAGGGAGGUUUUGGCACGCCAACAAGGCAGAGGCACUUUCUUUGAAUGCGCGAAAGAAGUCUUCGUCACCCACUCAUAGUACAAAUAAAUUCACCCAUAUUUAAGUUAAAUAAUCAGAGUUUAAAAUAUAUUUAAACAUUUGAUGAUUGUUGAUUGAUUUCGUUGACAAAUGUUUGACUGUACAUCAAGG
rnacentral:lncRNA from 1 species